rnacentral:rRNA from 1 species
UGAGGAAUAUUGGGCAAUGCCCGCAAGGGUGACCCAGCAACGCCGCGUGGAGGAUGAAUGUCGUAAGAUUGUAAACUCCUGUUAGAGGGGAAGAAUAGUACCGGUUGGACCGGUAUAUGACUGUACCCUCAGAGAAAGCCCCGGCUAACUACGUGCCAGCAGCCGCGGUAAUACGGAGGGUGCAAGCGUUAUCCGGAUUCACUGGGUUUAAAGGGUGCGUAGGCGGUUAUGUAAGUCAGUGGUGAAAUCAACGGGCUCAACCUGUUAACUGGCAUUGAUACUGUGUAUCUUGAAUAUGAGGGAGGUAGGCGGAAUGUUGCAUGUAGCGGUGAAAUGCUUAGAUAUGCUACGGAACACCGAUUGCGCAGGCAGCUUACUAUUUCGUAAUUGACGCUGAGGCAAGAAAGCGUGGGUAGCGAACA